AGCAAUACUGUGAGGUGGCGAGUGGCGGACGGGUGAGGAAUGCAUCGGAAUCUGCCUAUUUGUGGGGGAUAACGUAGGGAAACUUACGCUAAUACCGCAUACGUCCUACGGGAGAAAGUGGGGGAUCGCAAGACCUCACGCAGAUAGAUGAGCCGAUGCCGGAUUAGCUAGUUGGCGGGGUAAAGGCCCACCAAGGCGACGAUCCGUAGCUGGUCUGAGAGGAUGAUCAGCCACACUGGAACUGAGACACGGUCCAGACUCCUACGGGAGGCAGCAGUGGGGAAUAUUGGACAAUGGGCGCAAGCCUGAUCCAGCCAUGCCGCGUGAGUGAAGAAGGCCUUCGGGUUGUAAAGCUCUUUUGUCCGGAAAGAAAAGCGCUCGGUUAAUACCCGGGUGUCAUGACGGUACCGGAAGAAUAAGCACCGGCUAACUUCGUGCCAGCAGCCGCGGUAAUACGAAGGGUGCAAGCGUUACUCGGAAUUACUGGGCGUAAAGCGUGCGUAGGUGGUUUGUUAAGUCUGAUGUGAAAGCCCUGGGCUCAACCUGGGAACUGCAUUGGAUACUGGCUUACUAGAGUGCGGUAGAGGGGUGUGGAAUUCCCGGUGUAGCAGUGAAAUGCGUAGAUAUCGGGAGGAACAUCUGUGGCGAAGGCGACACCCUGGACCAGCACUGACACUGAGGCACGAAAGCGUGGGGGAGCAAACAGGAUUAGAUACCCUGGUAGUCCACGCCCUAAACGAUGCGAACUGGAUGUUGGGGGCAACUUGGCCCUCAGUAUCGAAGCUAACGCGUUAAGUUCGCCGCCUGGGAAGUACGGUCGCAAGACUGAAACUCAAAGGAAUU
rnacentral:rRNA from 1 species